CCUACGGGUGGCAGCAGUGAGGAAUAUUGGACAAUGGGCGUAAGCCUGAACCAGCCAAGUCGCGUGAGGGAUGAAGGUUCUAUGGAUCGUAAACCUCUUUUAUAAGGGAAUAAAGUGUGGGACGUGUCCUGUUUUGUAUGUACCUUAUGAAUAAGGAUCGGCUAACUCCGUGCCAGCAGCCGCGGUAAUACGGAGGAUCCGAGCGUUAUCCGGAUUUAUUGGGUUUAAAGGGUGCGUAGGCGGCCUUUUAAGUCAGCGGUGAAAGUCUGUGGCUCAACCAUAGAAUUGCGGUGGAAACUGGGAGGCUUGAGUAUGGUUGAGGCAGGCGGAAUGCGUGGUGUAGCGGUGAAAUGCUUAGAUAUCACGCAGAACCCCGAUUGCGAAGGCAGCCUGCCAAGCCAUGACUGACGCUGAUGCACGAAAGCGUGGGGAUCAAACAGGAUUAGAUACCCGUGUAGUC
rnacentral:rRNA from 1 species